UACAGAGGGUGCAAGCGUUGUUCGGAAUUAUUGGGCGUAAAGAGCUCGUAGGCGGUGUGUCGCGUCGGCCGUGAAAACCUGCAGCUUAACUGUGGGCGUGCGGUCGAUACGGGCAUCACUGGAGUUCGGCAGGGGAGACUGGAAUUCCUGGUGUAGCGGUGAAAUGCGCAGAUAUCAGGAGGAACACCGGUGGCGAAGGCGGGUCUCUGGGCCGAUACUGACGCUGAGGAGCGAAAGCGUGGGGAGCAAACAGG
rnacentral:rRNA from 1 species